rnacentral:rRNA from 1 species
UGCAAGUCGAGCGAAUUGCAAGCUGUAGCAAUACAGUUUGCAGUUAGCGGCAGACGGGUGAGUAACACGUAGACAACUUACCUUAUAGAGGGGGAUAGCCCGCCGAAAGGCGGGGUAAUACCGCGUAAGAUACAAGCGAGACAUCUCGCCUGUAUGAAACAUCCGCAAGGAUGGCUAUAUGAGAGGUCUGCGGCCUAUCAGCUAGUUGGUGAGGUAAUGGCUCACCAAGGCUACGACGGGUAUCCGGCCUGAAAGGGUGAUCGGACACACUGACACUGAGACACGGGUCAGACUCCUACGGGAGGCAGCAGUGAGGAAUUUUGGACAAUGGGGGAAACCCUGAUCCAGCGACGCCGCGUGAAGGAUGACGGUCUUCGGAUUGUAAACUUCUUUUAUUUGGGACUAAGAAAUCUGUGGAAACACGGAGAGUGAAUGUACCAGAUGAAUAAGCAACGGCUAACUUCGUGCCAGCAGCCGCGGUAAUACGAAGGUUGCAAGCGUUACUUGGAAUUACUAGGCGUAAAGGGCAGGUAGGUGGUUUGGUAAGUCUAUUGUGAAAGCUCCCGGCUUAACUGGGAGAGGCCAAUGGAUACUACCAAGCUUGAGUAUAGGAGAGGUUACUGGAAUUCCCCGUGUAGCGGUGAAAUGCGCAGAUAUGGGGAGGAACACCAAUGGCGAAAGCAGGUAACUGGACUAUUACUGACACUCAACUGCGAAAGCUAGGGGAGCAAACAGGAUUAGAUACCCUGGUAGUCCUAGCCGUAAACGAUGCACAUUAGACGUGAGGGGUAUCGACCCCCUUCGUGUCGACGCUAACGCAUUAAAUGUGCCGCCUGGGGAGUACGGCCGCAAGGUUGAAACUCAAAGGAAUUGACGGGGGCCCGCACAAGCGGUGGAGCAUGUGGUUUAAUUCGACGCAACGCGAAGAACCUUA